GACGAACGCUGGCGGCGUGCUUAACACAUGCAAGUCGAACGGUGAAGCGCCUUCCUUUUUGGUGGGUGUGGAUGAGUGGCGAACGGGUGAGUAACACGUGAGUAACCUGCCCCCUUCUUCUGGAUAACCGCAUGAAAGUGUGGCUAAUACGGGAUAUUCUGGGUCUGUCGCAUGAUGGGUCUGGGAAAGAUCUUGUUUCGGUGGGGGAUGGGCUCGCGGCCUAUCAGCUUGUUGGUGGGGUGAUGGCCUACCAAGGCGGUGACGGGUAGCCGGCCUGAGAGGGUGGACGGUCACACUGGGACUGAGACACGGCCCAGACUCCUACGGGAGGCAGCAGUGGGGAAUAUUGCACAAUGGGCGCAAGCCUGAUGCAGCGACGCCGCGGGAGGGAUGGAGGCCUUCGGGUUGUGAACCUCUUUCGCCAGUGAAGCAGGCCUGCCUCGUUUGUGGGUGGGUUGACGGUAGCUGGAUAAGAAGCGCCGGCUAACUACGUG
rnacentral:rRNA from 1 species